rnacentral:rRNA from 1 species
CCUACGGGAGGCAGCAGUGGGGAAUAUUGGACAAUGGGGGAAACCCUGAUCCAGCGACGCCGCGUGAGUGAAGAAGUAUUUCGGUACGUAAAGCUCUAUCAGCAGGAAAGAAAAUGACGGUACCUGACUCAGAAGCCCCGGCUAACUACGUGCCAGCAGCCGCGGUAAUACGUAGGGGGCAAGCGUUAUCCGGAUUUACUGGGUGUAAAGGGAGCGUAGACGGCAGCGCAAGUCUGGAGUGAAAUGCCGGGGCCCAACCCCGGAACUGCUCUGGAAACUGUGAAGCUGGAGUGCAGGAGAGGUAAGCGGAAUUCCUGGUGUAGCGGUGAAAGGCGUAGAUAUCAGGAGGAACACCGGCGGCGAAGGCGGCUUACUGGACUGUAACUGACGUUGAGGCUCGAAGGCGUGGGGAGCAAACAGGAUUAGAUACCCCGGUAGUC